rnacentral:rRNA from 1 species
GCAAGCCGAGCGGUAGAAGUCCUUCGGGACUUUGAGAGCGGCGUACGGGUGCGUAACACGUGUGCAACCUACCUUUAUCAGGGGAAUAGCCUUUCGAAAGGAAGAUUAAUACCCCAUAAUAUAUUGAAUGGCAUCAUUUGAUAUUGAAAACUCCGGUGGAUAGAGAUGGGCACGCGCAAGAUUAGAUAGUUGGUGAGGUAACGGCUCACCAAGUCAAUGAUCUUUAGGGGUCCUGAGAGGGAGAUCCCCCACACUGGUACUGAGACACGGACCAGACUCCUACGGGAGGCAGCAGUGAGGAAUAUUGGACAAUGGGUGAGAGCCUGAUCCAGCCAUCCCGCGUGAAGGAUGACGGUCCUAUGGAUUGUAAACUUCUUUUGUAUAGGAAUAAACCUACUCUCGUGAGAGUAGCUGAAGGUACUAUACGAAUAAGCACCGGCUAACUCCGUGCCAGCAGCCGCGGUAAUACGGAGGGUGCAAGCGUUAUCCGGAUUUAUUGGGUUUAAAGGGUCCGUAGGCGGACCGAUAAGUCAGUGGUGAAAUCUCAUAGCUUAACUAUGAAACUGCCGUUGAUACUGUCGGUCUUGAGUAAAUUUGAAGUGGCUGGAAUAAGUAGUGUAGCG